rnacentral:lncRNA from 1 species
GGCGGUAACGGGAAAGAAAAGGUGCAGGUGAUAUGGUGAUGUCGUCUGCCACCAUUAAAUCAUUAGAUAAAGUAGGGAAUUAGCCUAAUGAUUAUUGAAUUAUCCACUUUUGCUUGUAAAAUUUGUAACUGCAACUACUUAUGACAAUUUCAAUUUUCUUCUCACUUAGUCAACUUCAGAACUUCAUUAGCUAUGAUGCUUCGCGGGCAAUUAUCAACGUCUACAUGCCAACAUGAUAUCA